AUUGAACGCUGGCGGCAGGCCUAACACAUGCAAGUCGAGCGGUAGCAUUUCUAGCUUGCUAGAAGAUGACGAGCGGCGGACGGGUGCGUAACACGUAGGAAUCUACCCAGUAGCGGGGGAUAGCCCGGAGAAAUCCGGAUUAAUACCGCAUACGCCCUACGGGGAAGGCAGGGCCCGUUCUUCUCUGAAGAGCGGGCCUUGCACUAUUGGAUGAGCCUGCGUCGGAGUUAGCUUGUUGGUGGGGUAAGGGCCUACCAGGCAACGAUCCGUAGCUGGUCUGAGAGGAUGAUCAGCCACACUGGGACUGAGACACGGCCCAGACUCCUACGGGAGGCAGCAGUGGGGAAUAUUGCAC
rnacentral:rRNA from 1 species